rnacentral:rRNA from 1 species
UAGGGAAUCUUCCGCAAUGGGCGAAAGCCUGACGGAGCAACGCCGCGUGAGUGAUGAAGGUCUUCGGAUCGUAAAACUCUGUUAUUAGGGAAGAACAAAUGUGUAAGUAACUAUGCACGUCUUGACGGUAACCGGAGAAGAAGCCCCGGCUAACUUCGUGCCAGCAGCCGCGGUAAUACGAAGGGGGCUAGCGUUGUUCGGAUUUACUGGGCGUAAAGCGCACGUAGGCGGACUUUUAAGUCAGGGGUGAAAUCCCGGGGCUCAACCCCGGAACUGCCUUUGAUACUGGAAGUCUUGAGUAUGGUAGAGGUGAGUGGAAUUCCGAGUGUAGAGGUGAAAUUCGUAGAUAUUCGGAGGAACACCAGUGGCGAAGGCGGCUCACUGGACCAUUACUGACGCUGAGGUGCGAAAGCGUGGGGAGCAAACAGG